GGCCAGGGGAGCGAAAGGGAUUAGAUACCCCUGUAGUCCUGGCAGUAAACGGUGCACGCUUGGUGUGCGGGGAAUCGACCCCCUGCGUGCCGGAGCUAACGCGUUAAGCGUGCCGCCUGGGGAGUACGGUCGCAAGAUUAAAACUCAAAGAAAUUGACGGGGACCCGCACAAGCGGUGGAGUAUGUGGCUUAAUUCGAUGCAACGCGAAGAACCUUACCUGGGCUUGACAUGUAAUGAACAACAUGUGAAAGCAUGCGACUCUUCGGAGGCGUUACACAGGUGCUGCAUGGCCGUCGUCAGCUCGUGUCGUGAGAUGUUUGGUUAAGUCCAGCAACGAGCGCAACCCCUGUUGCCAGUUACCAGCACGUGAAGGUGGGGACUCUGGCGAGACUGCCCAGAUCAACUGGGAGGAAGGUGGGGACGACGUCAGGUCAGUAUGGCCCUUAUGCCCAGGGCUGCACACGUACUACAAUGCCCAGUACAGAGGGGGUCGAAGCCGCGAGGCGGAGGAAAUCCUAAAAACUGGGCCCAGUUCGGACUGUAGGCUGCAACCCGCCUACACGAAGCCGGAAUCGCUAGUAAUGGCGCAUCAGCUACGGCGCCGUGAAUACGUUCCCGGGUCUUGUACACACCGCCCGUCACAUCAUGGAAGCCGGUCGCACCCGAAGUAUCUGAAGCCAACCGCAAGGAGGCAGGGUCCUAAGGUGAGACUGGUAACUGGGAUGAAGUCGUAACAAGGUAGCCGUAGGGGAACCUGCGGCUG
rnacentral:rRNA from 1 species